GGUGAAUUUAAAAAAAAAGUAGAGAAUGAUUAAACUGAAUAAAUAAAUAAAUAACACACACCAGAUUUCAGCUCUGAGGCGCUCAAUAAAAUUACGCUUUGAAAUGCAAGGAUUAAGCAGGGUAGGUGACAAGGUAACUUUGUUAACAGGCUAAUCUCUCGCCUUAACAGAGACAGCGGAUUUACAUGUGACUGCACAAAACUGCUUUAUGGUCUCUUUUGCAAGCUGGAGAUGGUAGAAAAGGGGCAGGACGAGAUGGGACAGGGUUGUAUGUUUAAAAGCCAUUUGUAAGAUGGGCUUAAACUGGGGUUUUCUCAUGUGUGUGUGUCUGUAUGUGUUUUAAAGCAGGUCUGCACAGAAGUGUGUCACCAAUAAUCAUCUGUUUCCAAACAGUUCAGUUGGGGAUGCUGAAGAUGUCACGUGAUGCUGAGUAUAUGGCAUUGCCGGGGUGUUGUGCCGCCUGCAGGUAGAAAGACUGAUCCUGGAAGAAGAUGGAGUGAAAGCCCCAGCCCUGAUUUUGCAGGUUCAAAUGCUCAGAUCAUCUGGAUCGUUUCCUGAUGAGCUUUAAGGUUUCUCGGAGAGGAGUUUUAUAUCAGGUCUCCAUGCGCAACCCCAGUGAGGAAAAGAUGCUGCUGUCUUCACAGCUGAAACUAGUGGAGGUCAACUGCAACCGAGUGGGACUUGCUAUGCCGCAAAGGCAACAGGUCAGACCCACUCCUCUCCCGCAGCCAUUUGCAAUAGACAGCACUCCUCUGCCAACGCUCCCGUGGCCAGGACAGCUCACCCAAACUGGUGCUCCAGCCGCCCGUGGCAUGGAGAGGUUCCCAGGGGCAACUGGAGGUCGGCUUUCAGCCAGGGGAUAUGCCUGCAGUGCUGCUAAUGCAACCAAGGGAAGUCCUUUUCCAAACGUAACAAGGAGACAACAGUCCUGAGGGUGAAGUCUGGUACCCAGAUGGUAUUCCCAAGAUGACUGCACAAAUCUCUGAAGCAGGAAAGUCCUCCUUUGGAGGACCACUGAGCACAGAGCACUGCCCAGCCAAAGUCGGGCUGAACAUUUUGGAGCCUGCAGACUUGAAGGGGAGCUGGAAGAAGUGGGCAGAGCCCUGAAUUCUUCUUCAAGCUGUCUCGAAACAGGGACGGGACCAAACCUAAGGCCACAGAGACUGCAGCCAACCAGCUCAGUUUGGGAUGGGAGCAUCCCCCAUGUGCUGUGUCUAGCAGUUCUGUGGGGUGGAGCAGUGUCACCAGGAAAGCCAUGACCUGAAUGUGUUAUGCAACCUCCUUCCUGAGCAGUAAGUAAUGCCCCUACAGAAAGAUCUGUCCACAUAGCACCGAGGCUGGAGCUAUGCCCUGAGAUGCCAUCGCGUGAAUGGAAACAGUGGCAUGGUCCCCUGCUUGCGUUCCCAAACCCCAGCAUCCCCGUGCUAAGCUGGGUCCCUAUGGGAAUCUCGUAUUUUUCUCUGGUCCCACUAGCAGUCCUGUGGGACACGAGCAGCCUCUCCCUCUCCGGGACGGAUCUCCUUGCCUCAGCGAGGAGCAGUGGGGAAGAAGUUAGCACUGCUGUUCCCUGUGGCAAACCGAGCUGUGGCUAAAGGAAUAUUCAGAUACCCUGGGCUGCCAAUUCAGAACUUUUCUAAAACCAGCAGUAAAAUUUGACUCCGAUUCCUUUUUAGGAAAAGAAAGCCGUAGUAUAAAGUCCCAUUUUCUAGGCAUUAAAAGUUUACAAUCCACACCAUUAAAAGGAGCGUUUUGUGUCAAACUUAAAUUUGGUCUUCAGGAACAGCUAGGAGGAAAAGAGAAGGUUCCCUGUUUGUUCUACAAAACAGGAAAGUGGUUGCUUUCUAUACUGUAAAUAUGCAUUAGGGAAGCUCUUAUAGGCUCGUGCUGGGGAUUUGAUGUUUUUAACUGACUACAUUCC